rnacentral:rRNA from 1 species
AUGGCCAUCUUCGACGAGUUCUACGUGGGGUCCAUCGACCUUAGGAGCCUCAACUACGGGAUCAUGUCGCUCAUCCCCAAGGUGCCUGGGGCGUCUGACAUCCGCCAGUUUCGUCCGAUCACGGUGAUUAAUGUGAUCUUCCGGAUUCUGGCAAAAGGGUACGCCAAUAGGGUGACCCUUCUUGCCGACCACAUUACCCACCCCAACCAAUCCGCCUUCAUCCAAGGCCGAUAUAUCUUGGAUGGGGUGCUAGUCCUUCAUGAAGUCCUACAUGAGGUCCGAUCCAAACACCUCAUGGCGGUCUUUCUGAAGAUUGAUUUCCAUAAGGCCUACGACACUGUUAGUUGGCCCUUCCUUCGAGAAGUUCUG